rnacentral:tRNA from 1 species
GAGGGUUUAGCUCAGGGGUAGAACGCGUGGUUAACAUGCAUGAGGUCCUGGGUUCAAUCCCCAGUGCCUCCA